rnacentral:rRNA from 1 species
GUCCACGCCCUAAACGAUGGAUGCUAGACGUUGGGGUAUCGACCCCCCGGUGUCGCAGCUAACGCACUAAGCAUCCCGCCUGGGGAGUACGGCCGCAAGGUUGAAACUCAAAUGAAUUGACGGGGACCCGCACAAGCGGUGGAGCAUGUGGAUUAAUUCGAUACUAACCGAAGAACCUUACCCAGGUUUGACAUCGCGAGUAAUCCCGAGAAAUCGGGACCUCUCUCACAAGGAGACUCAAAGACAGAUGUUGCAUGGCUGUCGU